AUGAAAACCAACCGUGCUCCUGGGCCGGAUGAUAUCCCUGUUGAGUUCUAUCAACAUUGCUGGGAAGUGGUUGCUCAGGAUCUUUUCCGUCUUUUUGAAUGGUUCUAUGAAGGCAAGUUGGAUGUGCAACGCCUUAAUUAUGGCAUUAUAACUCUUCUGCCCAAAUCUUCGAAUGCUGCGAAGAUCCAGCAAUAUAGACCCAUUUGCUUACUUCGAUGUCCCUACAAACUUAUCACCAAAACUAUGGAUAUUAGAACGAGCAAAUAUGCUCAUAAGCUGUUUAGUGUCCAGCAAAAUGCCUUUAUUAAAGGGAGACAUAUAGUGGAUGGUAUUCUCUCCUUGCAAGAAGUGUUGCACUAUACUGAUAUCAAAAAACAAGUGGGGGUGAUCCUUAGGCUUGAUUUUGAAAAAGCUUAUGACAAAGUUAACUGGGACUUUUUGCUGGGUUGUCAUGAAAAGCGUGGGUUUAAUUCUAAGUGGUGUGGGUGGGUAUCUCAAAUCCUUAAGAAUGGCACGGUGAGUGUCAAGAUCAACGAUGAGGUAGGCCCUUAUAUUCAAAGUGCUAAAGGGGUGCGGCAAGGCGAUCCUCAUUCACCCUUUCUGUUUAAUAUUGCGGCAGAAUGCCUGACAAAGAUGGUACUCUCGGCACAAAAGAAUGGUCUCAUCAAGGGUUUGGCUGCUGAUCUUAUUGAAGGAGGUGUGGGUAUCCUUCAGUAUGCGGAUGAUAUGGUGGUUUGUUUUGAACAUGAUAUUGACAAGGCUGUCAAUGUCAAACUGUUGUUAUAUCUCUUUGAGCUCAUGUCAGGAUUGAAAAUCAAUUUUGACAAAAGUGAGGUAUUCACUAUAGGAGGGGACAAUGAGAUUGACGAAAUAUAUGCUGACAUGUUUAAUUGUCAAAUGAUCCACCCGCCCGUUGCACAAACCGGCCCGUUUUUUCUUAUUUUUUAA
rnacentral:rRNA from 1 species